rnacentral:ncRNA from 2 species
AUCUAUAAAAUUUAAUAUAGUCUUUACCAGUAUAUUUCAAAGGAAGUGGGGUGCAAAUCCUCCGCUAGCCCGUAACUGUAAAUUGAGGACAAACCUGUGAUAUGCCACUGGCUUUAGCUGGGAAGGUACAGGAGAGGUGAUACUCAUAAGUCAGGAUACUUUGAUAUAUAUCUAACUAUAAU